rnacentral:rRNA from 1 species
UUAGAGUGGCGGACGGGUGAGUAACACGUGGGUAACGUGCCCCCCGGCGGGGGACAACACUCUUAACAGGGUGCUAAUACCGCAUACGGUUGCCGGACUUUGAUGAUUGGCAAAGAAAGACUUCGGUCACCGGGGGAUCGGCCCGCGCUCCAUUAGCUUGUUGGUGGGGUAAGAGCCUACCAAGGCUACGAUGGAUAGCCGGCCUGAGAGGGCGAUCGGCCACACUGGGACUGAGAUACGGCCCAG